rnacentral:rRNA from 1 species
AAUGAACGUUGGCGGCGUGGAUUAGGCAUGCAAGUCGAAUGAAUCUCAGGUAGCAAUACCUGGGGGAAAUGGCGAAAGGGGCAGUAAUGUAUGGGUAACCUACCCGGGGUCGUGGAUAGCCGUCCUAACGGACGGGUAAUACAUGGCGAUUCGACGAGAGGACAUCCUUUUGUCGGGAAAGAAUUUCGCCUCCGGAGGGGCUCAUAUCGUAUUAGCUAGUUGGUGAGGUAACGGCUCACCAAGGCGAAGAUGCGUAGCGGGUGUGAGAGCACGACCCGCCGCCACUGGCGACUGA